AUGCCCAGUGAUUAUAAAAAGACGCGUUAUUCUGAGGAACACAACCUGCUACCAGUCUUUCCUCUAUCGUGUUCUCUAUCUUUGAUAUCCAUCUUUCUUAUCCUCCCUCCGCUCCUCCUCCUCUUUUCCUCAAACUGGUAGCUGGUCCGCUGACUGCGAUUAUGAGAUAUGAGGGCAU